GGGGUCCCGGGACAAGUCAGGUCCAUUGCAUAUAGCUAUCCCAUGAGGGGGUGGCCACCGGGAGGCAGCUAUAUAAGGAAGAUGCCUGGAUGGACUUCCUUGAGAAACUGAGAGAAGGCAGAAACUAGACAUUGUGCCCUGCGUGACUAGGUCCUACUUCUGGUUGGAGAAAGACCACUUUAUAACCUGGUGCAGUUGUGCACACCUGUAAUCCCAGGACUCCAGAGGCCGAGGCAGGAGGAUUGAAAGUUCGAGGGCAGCCUCAGCAACUUAGUGAGACCCUGUCUUGCCGCAAUCUGGCUGGGCACAAAUCACUGAGCCGCCACACAGCACUUGUAUCUUCAAACAGGAAGCUUUAUUGCCUGAACUCCAACAGCACUCCAGGCACACUCCCCGGGAACUCUCCCGAACGCCACCCACGCGGCCUCCAGGAACACCACACACCCUGUC
rnacentral:lncRNA from 1 species